UAGGGAAUAUUGGGCAAUGGAGGCAACUCUGCCCCAGCCAUGCCGCNUGCAGGACGAAGGCGUUAUGCGUUGUAAACUGCUUUUAUAUAGGAAGAAAGAGUUUUUGCGAGAACAGUUGACGGUACUAUAUGAAUAAGCACCGGCUAACUCCGUGCCAGCAGCCGCGGUAAUACGGAGGGUGCAAGCGUUGUCCGGAUUUAUUGGGUUUAAAGGGUGCGUAGGCGGUUUAUUAAGUCAGUGGUGAAAGACGGUCGCUCAACGAUUGCAGUGCCAUUGAUACUGGUAGACUUGAGUGAGAAUGAGGUAGCUGGAAUGGAUAGUGUAGCGGUGAAAUGCAUAGAUAUUAUCCAGAACACCAAUUGCGUAGGCAAGUUACUAAUUCUCAACUGACGCUGAGGCACGAAAGUGUGGGUAUCAAACAGGAUUAGAUAUCC
rnacentral:rRNA from 1 species